ensembl:lncRNA
CCUCCUGAAGCCUUCAUCUUCUUCAUCAUCAGCUGCUCAGUGACUCUGUUGGACGUCUCACCGUGUGGCAGCAGCUCAGGAGUUUGCAGUCAACCAAGGCCGACUCAGAAUCACUCCCACCGGGAAGAUCUGUGAAGGAAGGUCCACCCGGCUGGUCCAGAAGCUCCGGUCCAGCAGAGCAGCGUCAGGAUGGAGACGUAACCGGUGUUGAUGUCACCGCCUUGAUGAAGAGAAGAAAAGCCUGUAUUUGGAUCCAUCCUUGAAGUCCAGUCCAGUCCACUCCAGUCCAGUGACACUCCACACCACAGCGGGGAUUCGAACCGUGACCGACCACAUGACAGACACACACCCUCUGUGUGAGCUAUCUGUCACACAAGGUCCCUGGUGGAGUUUGUUGUAAUGAUGGUUGCAAGAGGUUGUCAUGCAGCCAAAGUGUAAAAAGAGCCUUGAGCUGGAUUCAAACCAAGGAUCUCCUGGAUGAGAGGCAGAUAACUUACCACUACACUAUCCUUCCUACUGGGUGUAGCUGUUAGUUUUCGUAAAUGAUGGUACACAAAUGUAUUAAGGAAGUGAAGAUAAUAAAGGUACUAAGGUACCGGGGAGGCAAAAAAAUUACCUCUACACAAC